UACGGGGGGCGCAAGCGUUGUUCGGAUUUACUGGGCGUAAAGGGCGCGUAGGCGGUCGUGACAAGUCACUUGUGAAAUCUCCGGGCUUAACUCGGAACGGUCAAGUGAUACUGUCGGACUAGAGUACAGAAGGGGCAACUGGAAUUCUCGGUGUAGCGGUGAAAUGCGUAGAUAUCGAGAGGAACACCUGCGGCGAAGGCGGGUUGCUGGGCUGAUACUGACGCUGAGGCGCGAAAGCCAGGGGAGCGAACGGG
rnacentral:rRNA from 1 species